AGUGAACGCUGGCGGUAGGCCUAACACAUGCAAGUCGAACGGCAGCACAGUAAGAGCUUGCUCUUACGGGUGGCGAGUGGCGGACGGGUGAGGAAUACAUCGGAAUCUACUUUUUCGUGGGGGAUAACGUAGGGAAACUUACGCUAAUACCGCAUACGACCUACGGGUGAAAGCAGGGGAUCUUCGGACCUUGCGCGAUUGAAUGAGCCGAUGUCGGAUUAGCUAGUUGGCGGGGUAAAGGCCCACCAAGGCGACGAUCCGUAGCUGGUCUGAGAGGAUGAUUCGACACCAUGGAACUGAGACAAGGUUCAGACCCCUAAGGGAGGGAGCAGUGGGGAAUAUUGGACAAAGGGCGCAAGCCUGAUCCAGCCAUACCGCGUGGGUGAAGAAGGCCUUCGGGUUGUAAAGCCCUUUUGUUGGGAAAGAAAAGCAGCAGGUUAAUACCCCGCUGUUCUGACGGUACCCAAAGAAUAAGCACCGGCUAACUUCGUG
rnacentral:rRNA from 1 species